rnacentral:rRNA from 1 species
UACAGAGGUCCCAAGCGUUGUUCGGAUUCACUGGGCUUAAAGGGCGCGUAGGCGGUCUCGUAAGUCUGCGGUGAAAUCCUCCAGCUCAACUGGAGAACGGCCGUGGAUACUGCGAGUCUCGAGGGAGGUAGGGGCGUGCGGAACAGAUGGUGGAGCGGUGAAAUGCGUUGAUAUCAUCUGGAACUCCGGUGGCGAAGGCGGCACGCUGGACCUCUUCUGACGCUGAGGCGCGAAAGCCAGGGGAGCAAACGGG